AGUAAAAAGAUAUUUAAGUAAGGAGAGAUUUAAUUUGUUAUGGAGAGGUGGAAUUCGGACAUAAAAAAUUAUAUUAUUUAUUUCUUUUAUUUGAUGCUUCGAAAAUUAAAUGGGAAACCGGGAUUAGAUACCCCGUUAUUUUUUUUGUAAAUUUUGAUUAAUUAUUUAGUUUACCUGAGUAUUACGGGUUGAGAGAUUUAAUACAAAUAAAUAAAGUUGUAUAAAACUUCUCAGGUACUUAAAACUCAAAAAACUUGGCGGUGCCUUAUUUCCUUCCAGGGGAACCUGUCCUGUAAUCGAUGAUCCACGAUUUAGCUUACUUUUUUUUGAAGCUUAUAUAUCAAGUUAUCAGUUUGUAUACCGUCGUCGUCGGAUUACCUUUAAGAGUUAAAAAGUUGUCGGAUAAAAUUGGAGGUGCCAGUAAUAAAAUACUAAUGGUGCUGAUCAACUUCUGAUGUCAGAUCAAGGUGCAGCUUAUAUAAAAGUAGAGAUGGGUUACAAUAUAAAUUUUAUAUAAUGGAUACUAAUUUGUAAUAAUUAGGUGAAAGUGGACUUGGGAGUAAUGUAACUUAUAUUARAUAAAUUAGAUAGUUUAUGUGAAUAUAGGUACUAAGGUGCGUACACAUCGC
rnacentral:rRNA from 1 species